AAAAAGCAUAGCACAAAAUUACUUGGAACAAAAGAGGAAACAGUAUUAAGAUACCAUGGAACUUGAUAAAUCAGUUUAAUCCUGUUCCUUUCUAAAGUUAGCUCUUGAAACUCAGUUGGAGAUAACUUAGUUUGGAAAAUGCUCAGUGACAAAUUCAGUGCAUCUUUAUAGAGUUGUACGACAGUGAUAACUCUUUGGCAUGACAGACAGCCCCAGGGGGUCAUAACAAUCACGAGGGCAAAGUAAUCCCACCGUGUUCCUUGCACAGCUGUUUUCUGUCGACGCACACUCACAGCUCUGACUUCCUUCUCUUUUUUGUUCAUUGACUACCAACAGAAACAAGCAGGAAUUUGUUCUUUUGUGCUGAGGAAGUGACAGAACAUCCAUGACUACAAUAAGUGAUAAUUAGGAGUAGAAGACUGAAUGAUAUUCUUUGCAAGAACAAAACCUUCACAGAAAAGAUUUACCCCCAAACUACAAUACACAAGUGCACAGAAAAUUUACGUUGAAAUGUGUUCAACCGAACACUUGGCAGACUGCCCCGGGAGAUGUGAACAAAUAUCCCAAGAGUCUUGUGAUUUUAUGAAUGAAUUACUGGAAAACAGAAGAUAAUCUGAGAAUGAAUAAAACAGAUGUCAUGAGAAGAGUAACAUGCAUGAUGGUUUUACUGUUGGACCGAACCCACCACUUCCUGGGGUUCGGGUAAAGCGAUAAGGGUUGGCCAAAAUCAUUAUAAGAGUGAAUUUUUAGGCUCAUGGUUGUUUUGACAUUUGUUUGGGAUAACAUCUUGAAAUCACAAGUUUGGGGGCUCUGAAUGACUGAUGGUGGUUGGUGGGAGUUGAAGGGUCAAGUUCCGCCUGACUAAAUUUCCCAAUGCCUUACAAGAAAUGAUGUUUGUCAGUGACUGCUAUGAAAUGUCCAUCUCAGCUUCAAAGCAAUAUAUUCUUAGUUUAAAUAAUGUUUCUGAGGUUUGUUCCCAGCUUUCAUUGCUGUCGUCUAUGCUUUAGCGUUCGUGUUCCAGCUUGUUUGCUCUGUUUGAUUGGUGUGACCAGGUUGGGUUUUAUAGUCUAUACUAAGAACAUGAAGUUGGAUGAAAGCCAGACAGUACACUGAACGUCUAAACUCUGGAAUUUUGCUCAUAUCUCAGUGGCAACGGCACAAGGAUAAUAAGUGAAAGGGAUAAAGACUCAUAUAAUGGGGUAAAACUUGUGAAAACCAUGCGUUUGAGCCAUAGGUUCACAGCUCAGCUUCAUUAACUUUCCUCACUAAAGGAGAACUUGAAAGAAAAACUAAUUUAGUGGGGCAUGUGAAUACCUUCACCCUAAAAUCCACCAUGUCAAUCUGUAGACAAAACACAACACUGUUAUUUUUGUUUCUUUAUUUGGCAAAGCUAUCUGAUUAAGGGGCACGAAAAUGUUUGGAUAAGAACCCAAUUGUGAGUUGUGGACUUACAUAGGACUCCAUUUGCAGUAUUCAGAUGGAACUUAAUAGACAGUGACUGCUUUACUCUAGGGGAUGAUGACAUUUAAAUAAACAGCACAUUGCAUACUUAACACAGACCUGGCCAGACAUCCCACUCACUGAUAGCUAGAAGCGUUUAGCCUCAUGCUGUUUAUGGUACCACAUGUUUAUUGGUGUUGAUCCAGGUAUUAACUCUGCCUUGUUUCCCACGAAUCUCAAGAGAAAGUGAAAACAUUAUGCUUAUAUUUACUAUCCUAUAGAUGACAGUCUCCAAAGAAGUAUGACUGCAUUAUUGCAUGUUUAUCAUGAUUUGUUUGAAAAGGUCAUGAAGAACUUGUUAUGGACGAUAAUGCAGCAUAAGAAAGAACUACUCAGAGCUUUCUUAUUGCUUGUUCCUUCAGGGAUGAUUGUAAUGAUAAAGCAAGGUGAGUCUGGGAAAAGGUUUAGAGUCCUAACGUUCUGGCAAACAUCCAUAACCUAAAGGCCAAGUGCCAUUUCUUGGUUAUGUGUGGCAAAACAUUUAGGUUUAUAAUAUUUUCCAUGAUGCUGUCAAUCAAACACACUCCUCUACACUAAGAAAUAACGUAAUGUGUUUUGUAUCUAAAAUGACCUCCAUGAUUACAAAA